UACCAGCACCCCGAGUGGUCGGGACGAUUAUUGGGGCUAAAGCAUCCGUAGCCGGUUUUACAAGUCCUCCGUUAAAUCCAGCUGCUUAACAGAUGGGCUGCGGAGGAUACUAUAAGACUAGGAGGCAGGAGAGGCAAGCGGUACUCAGUGGGUAGGGGUAAAAUCCGUUGAUCCAUUGAAGACCACCAGUGGCGAAGGCGGCUUGCCAGAAUGCGCUCGACGGUGAGGGAUGAAAGCUGGGGGAGCAAACCGG
rnacentral:rRNA from 1 species